AUGAAACAAAUGCAGUGGUUAUACUGAUUAUACUUAAAGUGACGAUACUACUUACAGAUCUACCAGUUGAUAAACAUCAUCAUCAUAGAUAAUAAUCUACAUCUAUAAUCAUAGUGCCCUUUAUUUAGUCAAUAUAGUCAAGUCAAGAUAGUGGAACGUAAACUCGAAGGUUUAAUACAAUACGUUAUUAACAAGUAGAACCAUGGCAACCAGUUCUGAUGAUGUCCCAGAAUGGCUCAAGGAUCAUACUUAUACUAUUUCUACUCUCUGGGCAUCCAUUCAAUAUUUAAUUUAUGUUUGGAAAUGCAAGAAAAAGGCAUGCAUUCCUGAAAAGUCAAUGAUUGGUUGCACCUCUUAAAGAUAACUUUCUGUUAUGAGAAAAGAUGAGAUUCUUGGACUCCUGCAUAGCACCACCAGAAAGGAAAAUCCCAUCAUGUUGCAAAAAGUCUUGGACCAAUUUUAAUUUAAGAUAUAUAUAUUAUACUGUAAGCUGUAUACAUAUUUAUGUAUAUCCUGUCAUUCAGCCAACAGGUUUGGAUUUAGUAUUUCUUUAAAUCUGUUUGAUAUUGUACUUGAAAACUAUUAAUCUGAGCCGCAUUAAAACAAGAGGGAGUGCAGUGGAUGAGUGGUAAGGGAAAUUUUACUUUUUUAAAAUUAAAAUAAGAAUCUAACAAAAGUAAACAUAUAAAAUAUGGUGCAUUCUCCUUAAAACUAAAACCUGGUGCAAAGGUUUAAAAUGUUGGCAAAAAAAAAAGCAACAUCAAUUAAAUAUUUUUAUUUCCCUUUGCAAAACUUACUGAGAAGAACAUGCACGUUGUUCCCUCAUAAGUUUCUUGACAGAGGAAAUCUUGUUUAUAUUAGAUUUGAAUUAAGCAAAUUAAGAAAAAAAUUAUAAUCAUUAUUUCAAAUGGUUGUAUCUAAACCUUAUGAAUUAUUUUUCAGUUAUAAGUAUAUUGAAAUGAAUGGAUAAUCAUGAAAUUGUUAAAUAAUUGCUGCUAUCAUUCCAUUGACUAAAGAACCAUAAUUUUUUUUUUUAAUUAAUUUCAAAAUUAAUUAAUUAAUUUUCAAGCAGAGUUCACAUAGAUCUUGAGUGAAAUUUUUCUUUUUUUGACUAAUGCUUCAAUUUUAUUGUAUCAUUAGUUUUUUAUUUUUAUUACCCAGAAUAUUUUAAAAAUGAGUACACUAUUUUCAUGUAAUAAUGUAACUUGGUAUUCACACAUCAAAAUACGCUAUAAUCUUUAGGCCAUAUAGAUUUGUAUAAAUAUAAAUUAACUUGCUUAAAUACAUUGUAAAUGUAUAUUGUUUGGAUAAGAAUAAAGUUUUUCUGUAGACAA